ACUCCUCUCCCUCACGCCUCCAUCCAUCAGUCAGUGAGUCACUUUCCAUUUCCAUCUUUCAAUUUCUGCAUAUCUCUCACCCAUUUUAUCUCCAACCAACACGCUUCAAAAAUAAUACCUUCGCUUCCAUUUCUCUUCUCCCAUCGCGAGUAUGUAAGCUACUAGCGUUGUUUGACAGUUGCGAGUUGCGACGACCAAGCUUCGGUUAG